rnacentral:rRNA from 1 species
UUCCGUAGGAGGACCUGCGGAGGGAUCAUUACCGAGUUUACAACUCCCAAACCCCUGUGACAUACCUAUACGUUGCCUCGGCGGAUCAGCCCGCGCCCCGUAAAAAGGGACGGCCCGCCCGAGGACCCCUAAACUCUGUUUUUAGUGGAACUUCUGAGUAAAACAAACAAAUAAAUCAAAACUUUCAACAACGGAUCUCUUGGUUCUGGCAUCGAUGAAGAACGCAGCAAAAUGCGAUAAGUAAUGUGAAUUGCAGAAUUCAGUGAAUCAUCGAAUCUUUGAACGCACAUUGCGCCCGCCAGUAUUCUGGCGGGCAUGCCUGUUCGAGCGUCAUUUCAACCCUCAAGCUCAGCUUGGUGUUGGGACUCGCGGUAACCCGCGUUCCCCAAAUCGAUUGGCGGUCACGUCGAGCUUCCAUAGCGUAGUAAUCAUACACCUCGUUACUGGUAAUCGUCGCGGCCACGCCGUAAAACCCCAACUUCUGAAUGUUGACCUCGGAUCAGGUAGGAAUAGCCGCUGAACUUAAGCAUAUCAAUAGUCGGAGGAAGAGGCCC